AACGAACGCUGGCGGCAUGCCUUACACAUGCAAGUCGAACGGCAGCACGGGAGCAAUCCUGGUGGCGAGUGGCGAACGGGUGAGUAAUAUAUCGGAACGUGCCCGGUCGUGGGGAUAACGUAGCGAAAGCUACGCUAAUACCGCAUACGAUCUACGGAUGAAAGCGGGGGAUCGCAAGACCUCGCGCGAUUGGAGCGGCCGAUAUCAGAUUAGGUAGUUGGUGAGGUAAAGGCUCACCAAGCCGACGAUCUGUAGCUGGUCUGAGAGGACGACCAGCCACACUGGGACUGAGACACGGCCCAGACUCCUACGGGAGGCAGCAGUGAGGAAUAUUGGACAAUGGGCGCAAGCCUGAUCCAGCCAUGCCGCGUGCAGGAUGACGGUCCUAUGGAUUGUAAACCGCUUUUAUACAGGAAGAAACACUCCGACGUGUCGGAGCUUGACGGUACUGUAAGAAUAAGGAUCGGCUAAC
rnacentral:rRNA from 1 species